GGCCGCAUGGAAUCCAUCACAGGAGGUGGAGCAGAGUCAUGGCUGUUGCUACGGCCUGCCAGGGAAUGAUGGAGCCACGCGGAAUCCAUCGCAGGAGGUGGAGUAGGAUCGUGGCCAUUAUUACGGCCUGCCAGGGGGUCCAGGCCUAUCGAUCGGAGUUCGGCUGGGGUGUCAGACGGAGAGAGGUGGCUAGCCACCCG
rnacentral:lncRNA from 1 species